rnacentral:rRNA from 1 species
CCUACGGGAGGCAGCAGUAGGGAAUUUUCGGCAAUGGGGGGAACCCUGACCGAGCAACGCCGCGUGAAGGAAGAAGGAAUUCGUUCUGUAAACUUCUGUUAUAAAGGAAGAAAGACGGAUGGAGGAAAUGACAUCCGAGUGACGGUACUUUAUGAGAAAGCCACGGCUAACUACGUGCCAGCAGCCGCGGUAAUACGGGGGUGGCAAGCGCUAUCCGGAAUUAUUGGGCGUAAAGAGGGAGCAGGCGGCAGCAAAGGUCUGUGGUGAAAGACUGAAGCUUAACUCCAGUAAGCCAUAGAAACCGGGCAGCUAGAGUGCAGUUGAGGUUCGUGGAAUGCAAGGUGUAGCGGUGAAAUGCGUAGAGAUA